ACAACUCUUGUGGAUGGAGGG
rnacentral:miRNA from 2 species